rnacentral:rRNA from 1 species
CGCCUGGGGAGUACGGCCGCAAGGUUAAAACUCAAAUGAAUUGACGGGGGCCCGCACAAGCGGUGGAGUAUGUGGUUUAAUUCGACGCAACGCGAAGAACCUUACCUGGCCUUGACAUCCAGAGAACUUUCCAGAGAUGGAUUGGUGCCUUCGGGAACUCUGAGACGGGUGCUGCAUGGCCGUCGUCAGCUCGUGUCGUGAGAUGUUGGGUUAAGUCCCGUAACGAGCGCAACCCCUAUCCCUGGUUGCUAGCAGGUAAUGCUGAGAACUCCAGGGAGACUGCCGGUGACAAACCGGAGGAAGGUGGGGAUGACGUCAGGUCAUCAUGGCCCUUACGGCCAGGGCUACACACGUGCUACAAUGGCGCGUACAGAGGGCCGCCAACUCGCGAGAGUGAGCCAAUCCCUUAAAACGCGUCGUAGUCCGGAUCGGAGUCUGCAACUCGACUCCGUGAAGUCGGAAUCGCUAGUAAUCGCGAAUCAGAAUGUCGCGGUGAAUACGUUCCCGGGCCUUGUACACACCGCCCGUCACACCAUGGGAGUGGAUUGCACCAGAAGUAGUUAGUCUAACCUUCGGGAGGACGAUUACCACGGUGUGGUUCAUGACUGGGGUGAAGUCGUAACAAGGUAACCGUA